rnacentral:rRNA from 1 species
UCCCGCGCCGCCGGUUCAUCGCUCGCGGUGUUCUGCUGGCGUGUCCGCGGGACGUCCUGCCGGUGGGCUUAGCCCGCGGGGCGGCCCAACUUCUAUCCCAUCGCGGUGCUCUUCACUGAGUGUCGAGGUGGGCCGGCACGUUUACUUUGAACAAAUUAGAGUGCUUAAAGCGGGCUAAAACUUCCCCUGAAUACUGUGUGCAUGGAAUAAUGAAAUAAGACCUCGGUUCUAUUUUGUUGGUUUUCAAAACCCCGAUGUAAUGAUUAAUAAGAACGGAGGGGGGCAUUCAUAUUGCCACUUUAGAGGUGAAAUUCUUGUAUCCUCACAAGACGGACAAAAGCAAAAGCAUUUGCCAAAAACGCUUUCUUUGAUCAAAAACGAAUGUUAGAGGUUCGAAGGCUAUCAUAUACCGCCCUAGUUCUAACCAUAAACGAUGCCAGCUAGCGAUCUGUGGACGUUCCUCUGAUGACUCGACGGGCAGCGUCUGGGAAACCAAAGCUUUUGGGUUCCGGGGGAAGUAUGGUGGCAAAGAGGAAAAUUAAAGGAAUAGAGGGAAGGGCACCCCCCGGAGAGGAGCGCGCGGCUUAAUUUGACUCAACACGGGAAACCUCUCCAGGCCCGGACACCGGAAGGAGUGACAGAUUGAGAGAUCUUUUUUGAUUCGGUGGGUGGUGGGGCAUGGCCGUUUUUAGUUGGUGGAGCGAUUUGUGUGGUUAAUUCUGAUAACGAACGAGACUCUAGCCUGCUAACUAGGCGUAUUUUCGACAUCUCAAAGGUCCGUCGUCCCGGCCCCCGGGUGGUGGGGGUGCGGGAUUUUUACUGUCGGCGUACUAUCAAUUAUUUUUAGAGGGACAGGCGGGUCUAGCCGCCCGAGAUUGAGCAAUGCCAGGUACAUGAUG